GGUAUAGCUCGGUGGUAGAGCGCAUGCUUUGCGUGCAUGAGGUCCUGGGUUCAAUCUCCACCAGUACCU
rnacentral:tRNA from 1 species